GAUGAACGCUAGCUACAGGCUUAACACAUGCAAGUCGAGGGGCAGCAUGGUCUUAGCUUGCUAAGACUGAUGGCGACCGGCGCACGGGUGAGUAACGCGUAUCCAACCUUCCGUACACUCAGGGAUAGCCUUUCGAAAGAAAGAUUAAUACCUGAUGGUAUCUUAAGCACACAUGUAAUUAAGAUUAAAGAUUUAUCGGUGUACGAUGGGGAUGCGUUCCAUUAGGUAGUAGGCGGGGUAACGGCCCACCUAGCCAACGAUGGAUAGGGGUUCUGAGAGGAAGGUCCCCCACAUUGGAACUGAGACACGGUCCAAACUCCUACGGGAGGCAGCAGUGAGGAAUAUUGGUCAAUGGACGAGAGUCUGAACCAGCCAAGUAGCGUGAAGGAUGAAGGUCCUACGGAUUGUAAACUUCUUUUAUAAGGGAAUAAACCCUCCCACGUGUGGGAGCUUGUAUGUACCUUAUGAAUAAGCAUCGGCUAACUCCGUG
rnacentral:rRNA from 1 species